rnacentral:rRNA from 1 species
GAUGAACGCUAGCGGGAGGCCUAACACAUGCAAGCCGAGCGGGAUUUGUUGGUUAGCUUGCUAACUAACAAUGAGAGCGGCGUACGGGUGCGUAGCACGUGUGCAACCUGCCUUUAUCUGGGGGAUAGCCUUUCGAAAGGAAGAUUAAUACCCCAUAACAUAUUGAUUGGCAUCAGUUAAUAUUGAAAGCUCCGGCGGAUAGAGAUGGGCACGCGUAAGAUUAGCUAGUUGGUGAGGUAACGGCUCACCAAGGCUGCGAUCUUUAGGGGGCCUGAGAGGGUGAUCCCCCACACUGGUACUGAGACACGGACCAGACUCCUACGGGAGGCAGCAGUGAGGAAUAUUAGACAAUGGGUGAGAGCCUGAUCCAGCCAUCCCGCGUGAAGGACUAAGGACCUAUGGUUUGUAAACUUCUUUUAUACAGGGAUAAACCUACUCUCGUGAGGGUAGCUGAAGGUACUGUAUGAAUAAGCACCGGCUAACUCCGU